AACAGUGCUCUUUAUUUCCUUAUUUUAUUAUGAUUAUUUUUCUUGGAGAUUAAGUAGUUCUGUACUUUUUUUUUUUUUUUUUUUCCAGCAAAUUAUAAAAGUAGAUAAAGAGGAAAUCACUAUUAAUAAAAUGCAACAUAUUUUUAAUUGAAAUAUACUUUUUACACACCAUGACUGAAAAGUUUCAUUAGAUCAGUUAGUGUGCUAAAUGACACUCAAACAUAAAUUGUUUCUAACACAAAUCUGGAAAAUAAGGCAGCAAGGUUUCUUCCAGAAUAAAUAAAUAAAUAAAUGAAUAAAUCUAUCCUUUCUUAGUUUAAAGCCAUUAAUCACUGUCCUUACCCUUCAGCAGCCCCUUCUGGGUGGAGGCAUCAGCCACCACUGGGUUAGAAGACUUUUAAUGCAAUCAGUGCUUAAGACAGAACAAGAAGAUAACAAUGAUAGAGAAGCAACUAGAAUGAAAUCAUGAUCCUGUAAGUAAUUCAUGGGAAUAUGUGAUUGAUAAGCAUUCUGAAAAUGAACAGAACAUAACAAAGGAGAGUCAAAGUUGAAAAACUUGGAGGACUUGUUUUCUGCUUGUCACUACCAGGUGUGCUUUAUAAUGGUUUAAUAUAGAAUUGAUAUUAAUGGUAAUAUUAAUUUUAAUUAAAGUACUCCUUUCAAAUUCCACUUCAUUAAGCUAAAAGAUGUGAUUAUUUUCUCACUAUGUUGGGGGAGUUAGCUUAGCUCACUUCAAUUUCUAACUGGAAAAAUUUGGGCACUUGGUAAAAAAAAUUCCUUCACAUUUUAGAUAUAACAGAAGUGGACCAAAAGGAAUUUUAACAGUUUCACAUCUACAGAAAACAUUUCACCAUUUUGUAUUUCUCUUACUCAAAGGAACUCUUCAUCAUGGGCUGAAAUGAAAGGCAAAACUCAUAUUUGAGCUCCAUGCUCACAAAACAAGCC
rnacentral:lncRNA from 1 species